rnacentral:lncRNA from 1 species
GGAAGGACACACUAGUGUCCUCGCGAAGGGUGCGGUGCACCCUAACUCGCUUGCGCUCGCGCGUGGGCGAUGCGGCGCUUUGAUGGCGCACUUCGCUCGCAUCGCCGCGAGCCGCUUAAGAGCCGCCUUUGUAUUUUUGACCGCGUGCGCGUGGUGGAGCACAAAGGUUGCAAGGACCAAGUGGUAGGUGAUGCAGCGCAUGACGUGGCAGUCAUGCGCAUGCGCGCGCGAGUACAUGGCACGGAGGCGCGCGGUUGCGUGCAUGGUGCAUGGGUCCUACUGUGUCGUGCGCGGCGCACCAGAGUGAGCCAAUACGGCGCGACUGUGUGGCGCGCUCGUAUAGGCUCAUAGGUGACGUGGCGCACGUGCGCAUGGACUUGAGCCAAGAGGACGCAACGGCAUGGGCGUGCAGACCUGGGUGCGCGCGCACCAGGGUGACUUGCGCGCGCAGAAGCUUCCAGC